AACCAAAUCGAGAAAACCUAGGCGGAGAAGCAUCACAGGUCCGUAUUUCUUGGAGAGAUCGUGAAGAGAUCUAUGAAGCUUUCCUCGUAACUGGUGUAGGUUUCCGAUGAUCGGAAGCUUCGGUGGGCUUGGAGGAAGAUUCUGUUUCGAGUCUUUGAUUUUUUUCAUGAAUAUAAACGUUAGAAGAGCGAAAGGAAGAAAAAACAAGAUCAAAUAUAGAAGACUCGACAUAGUUUUGGUUUUCCUCUGUUUUUGUGUUCUGUUUUUGGUUACGGAGAAACAUAGUAUUUAGAUUUCAGACUAUAAAAACAAAACGACGUCUGUACGACGGCAACAUAAAAGUCGCAUGUUUGGACUUCUUGUGAGGAUAAGCUUUGAAAAUUGUCUUCAUAAUGUGUGAACCUCAACUAGUUAAACACUGUUCCAAAAUCUAAUUCUAAAUUAUCCAAAAUUGUCUUCAAAUAAGUACCCAAAAAAAAUACAUCUCAUUCAUCUCCUAUGUGUAUGCUAUAUAAUGUUUUUGAACGAGGUAUUAUGCUUACAGAGUAUUGUUUCAUUCAUUUGUUUUAAGGAAAAACAUUACACGGGUGGGUGAUUAUGUACAUAGUUUUUAAUAUAAGAGAUUGUAACUUGUAAUCUUUAUUUUAAUCAUAGUCUAUACAAUUUUUCCUUUAACAUAUUAUGUGUUCAUUCUUUUGAAAAAACUACAUAUUAUGUGUUUAAGUGUUUUUAGUUCUUACUCUCACAAUUUAUGAUGAAAUACAAAAUCAUACUGUUUUAGUUUUCCUCUGUUUCUUGUUCUGUUUUUUUUUUUUUUUUUUUUUUUGGUAUAAGAGCACAACAGAGUAUUAAGACAAUAAAACAAAGAGUUUAUGACGUCUUUACCACGGCAACAUUACAUAUAAUUGUUUUUGAGGAUAAGCUUUGAGAGGUGCAAAAUCAAACUUUCAAAAACCAAUGGGCCUCGUCAACAUGUCACUUUCUUUAUUUCAACAACCAUUACAUAAGUUUCAUUCGAAGAUGAAGAUUUUCUCUUUCUUUAUUAGCUGUUUAAAUGAUGAAGAACUGGGAGUAGCUUAAGAGGAACUUUCUUAAUAAUUGUGGCAUGGCCAGCUUCUUCCAUGUCAAAACCUUUAUCAUCUUCAGGCAAUCUCCAAUCAAAGAAGUAAAGCAAGUUGAGGAGUCCCAACUCAAUAGUGGUACUCGCAAAAGCUAUCCCUGGACAUAUCCUCCGACCAGAACCAAAUGGUAACAGCUCGAAGUUAUUUCCUUUGUAGUCAAUAGGACUAUCGAUAAACCUGUCCGGAUUAAACUCCUCAGGGUUUUGCCAGAGAUCAGGGCUUCGUCCUAUCGACCAUGCGUUAACCAGAAGAAUUGUUUUACUAGGAAUGUCGUAGCCUUGGAUCUUGAUAUUAGCCAUUGUUUCUCGUGGAAGUAAAAGAGGAGCUGGUGGGUGUAGUCUGAAGGUUUCUUUAAUCACAAGCUUCAAGUAUGGAAGCUUAUCAACAUCUUCUUCCUUGAUUCUUUCGUUUUGUUUGAUCCCAAUGCAUGUUCGGAUCUCAUCUUGAACUUUCUUCAUCACCCGCGGGUUGCUAAUAAGCUCGGCCAUUGCCCAAAUCAAGGUGAUGGCACUUGAGUCUACUCCAGCCAGAUAUAUAUCCUUGGUCACCAACGACAUAAAAUGGUUAAGGACAUAUCUUAAGAUUACCAAAUCAAAAAGUAUAUAUUAAAGAUCUAAUUUUUAUAGAUAGUUCCUUUGUGUUUUGACAUAAUAUCAACGUUUGCGUUUGAGAAAAGGUAAAGAAUCCUAUAUCGAUUAACAUGAAAGACUUACUCUAAUUUUGUUAUAAAAAACAAAAAAAAAGCCUUAUGGUAAUAUACUUCAGAGAGGUUGAAUUAUAUCUAAAUGCUUACUUGGAUGAUUCCUUUGAGGUUAUCAAUGGUGAGCUUGAAAGAUUUAUCUUGUUCUUGUUCAUUUAUCAUAUCUAAGAGCGAGUCGACUAUAUCCGGACGAUCGGGAGUUGUUUCUUCUAUAGGGUUUCUUAAGUGAUCAUCAAUAAUAUGAUUCAACAAAGUAUCAACCUCCACGAAAACUCCUUGAAGUUUCUUAUGUCGUCCUGACACAAAGUCCAUAUACCAUCCCACCCCAGCAGGGAAAAGAUCAGAGUUACUUAGAGACGAAACUAGCUGGACAUCAAACAUGAGUUCCUCGAUCUUGUCUUUAUUGACAUGCCUGUUCUCCUCCAAACGCUGCCCAAAGGUGGAUCUGAAUAUGAUACUUCCGACUAGAUAGAAAAUUGUUUGGUUCAAAUCCACUGUACUCUUCUUCUGAGCCGAUUCUUUAAGUUUCUUGACCAUCAAAUCACUCUCUUCUUCUCUUAUGUACCUAAAAGAUCGAACCUUUAUCGCUCUGAAAAACUUUACCACAGAGACUUUGCGCAGUUCACUCCAAACCUCACCAUAUGGCACAAAGGCGAUGUCUUGACCAUCACGCCAUAAGUUUGAUGAGGCGGUGGUCCUAGGUCUGCUACAACAGUCAAGGUCAUGUACUUUAAAAGCUUCUUCAGCUGCUUCACUCGAUGAGAUGACAACCAAAUCGAGAAAGCCUAGGUGGAGAAGCAUCACAGGUCCGUAUUUCUUGGAGAGAUCGUGAAGAGAUCUAUGAAGCAUCCCUCGUAGCUGGUGUAGGUUUCCGAUGAUCGGAAGCUUCGAUGGGCUUGGAGGAAGAUUCUGUUUCGAAUCUUUGAUUUUAUUUCUGAAUAUUAACGUUAGAAGAGCGAAAGGAAGAAAA
rnacentral:lncRNA from 1 species